rnacentral:tRNA from 1 species
UGGCUCCGUGGUUAAAGCGUUCGGCUACUAACUGAAAGAUCGGUGGUUUGAACCCACC